CCUCGAUACACUACGAUGUAUAGUGAAAUAAGCAGAAAAAUUUAAUAUAUGAAACUUGCAACAUUUUUUUAAUAAUAAUAUUUCUGCUCACAAGGGUAGCCUCUGCAAAUAUCGUUUGAACCUCCUUUGCUCGAAACAUCUAUAUUUCUAUUAAGACUCGGCCACGUAAUAUGUGUUACUACAUAGUCCUGUUUACUUGCUUCCAAUAUCCGGUAUGAAAACUUAUAUGCUGUUAUCGUACUUCCACAAUCAGAAUCUCCUCAAACAUGGGACGAAGCAAAUGAAAAGAUCUACUUAAUAUCAACCGUCCCGAACCUAAUCGCAAUACGUAUGUAUCGAUCUACAAUUGGAUCGUGAAUUUUCAAUAAAUACUUAUUUCCACGGUAUAAGAUGUGCCGAGUUCGAUACGUUUUCGAAGUAGAUGUCUGCCAGAGAGGAACGCUUUGAGAUCGUUGUUAUUGACCGAGUAAAAUCAGAAUCGAAGGAAACGGACGAGCGUAAUAAAAAGGAAGAGCGCGGAGAAAUUCUCGAUCCCCGGCGUCGCGUUUCUCCUCCUGCGAGUUCUAUUAAUAAGUAUAAAGCGAUCGAACGGCUCGGAAAUAAAACGGGCGGAACCUAAUUAAACAGAAAGGUGAAAAAUGUGAACAGCACUUUGAUGUUCAUACAGUUCCUAUUUAAAUGCGCACUCCACCACCGCGUGUAUUAGUUAAUAAUUGGAAACUGAAAAAGGGAUAUGAAAACUUUCGAAUGUUCCUGUAUUUUUACCAUAUCUUCUCCAGAUGCGAAACAUUAAUCUAUUUGUAUAAAACUUCUAUUCAAACUCGUCAUGUGAUAUCUCUGUAUACACUCCAUGUAAUCGAAUGUCAAUUUGACAUUGAUAACUUACGACUUUAUCAUCUUUACCGAUAUUGUAUCUGAUAAAAAUAUCGGUGUUGACGAAGCUAAUUACCGAGAUGUCUGGUGAACGUACUCCUCUUCAUUCCAUGCUAAAGCAUACAAUAGAAUGCAAGGAAUGAUGCAUUAAUCGCUCUAAGAAGAUGACAUCAUUGGCAAUUCGCCGAUGAUAUCAUCCUUCAUUCUUACUACAACAUUAUGACAUCACGGCGUGUGAAAUAUUUGAAAUAUCUUAACACUUUAUCGUGGCAUCCUUCAUAUGGUAAAUAACAAUUUGAACCAGAUAGCGGAUACCUACAGCUGAAGAUAUUUUACAACGGGGCCAUAAAACGAUUAUCGUUGUAUUAUCCUGAACGCUGGUCAAUAACAACCAUCGUGAUUUAUUUAAUGCACGUCCCAAAACGUUGGAAUGGCUGUUUUAAAAUUAUAGUGCCAACUUUUACAAUAGUACAUUAAAAUGCAAAUAAAAGGUAAUAAAGGAUACUUUUGCUAAUAAACGAGUUCCGCAAUUUAUUCUAACAAUUGUCUCUGCUGCGCGAUAUUAAUAAACUGCGGGUACUUUACAUUUAUGGAAAAAUUAGAUA